GAGAUUGUGGUGAAGAGGUAACACGUACGAUUGUGGCUCGUAUAUGCGCGGGUUCGAACCCCGUCAAUCUCCCCA
rnacentral:tRNA from 1 species